GAUGAACGCUAGCGGGAGGCCUAACACAUGCAAGCCGAGCGGUAUUUGGUAGCUUGCUACUAGAGAGAGCGGCGUACGGGUGCGGAACAUGUGUGCAACCUACCCUUAUCAAGGGGAUAGCCCGGAGAAAUUCGGAUUAAUACCCUAUAAUAUAUUGAAUGGCAUCAUUUGGUAUUGAAAGUUACGACGGAUAAGGAUGGGCACGCACAAGAUUAGCUAGUUGGUGAGGUAACGGCUCACCAAGGCGAUGAUCUUUAGGGGGCCUGAGAGGGUGAUCCCCCACACUGGGACCGAGACACGGCCCAGACUCCUACGGGAGGCAGCAGUGAGGAAUAUUGGACAAUGGGUGGAAGCCUGAUCCAGCCAUCCCGCGUGAAGGAUGAAGGUUCUAUGGAUUGUAAACUUCUUUUAUAUGGGGAUAAACCUACUCUCGUGAGGGUAGCUGAAGGUACCAUAUGAAUAAGCACCGGCUAACUCCGUGCCAGCAGCCGCGGUAAUACGGAAGGUCCAGGCGUUAUCCGGAUUUAUUGGGUUUAAAGGGAGCGUAGGCGGAUUAUUAAGUCAGUGGUGAAAGACGGUGGCUCAACCAUCGUUAGCCAUUGAAACUGGUAGUCUUGAGUGCAGACAGGGAUGCUGGAACUCGUGGUGUAGCGGUGAAAUGCUUAGAUAUCACGAUGAACUCCAAUCGCGAAGGCAGGUGUCCGGGCUGCAACUGACGCUGAGGCUCGAAAGUGUGGGUAUCAAACAGGAUUAGAUACCCUGGUAGUCCACACAGUAAACGAUGUAUACUCGCGGUUUGCGAUAUAUUGUAAGCCGCCAAGCGAAAGCAUUAAGUAUACCACCUGGGGAGUACGCCGGCAACGGUGAAACUCAAAGGAAUUGACGGGGGCCCGCACAAGCGGAGGAACAUGUGGUUUAAUUCGAUGAUACGCGAGGAACCUUACCCGGGCUUGAACUAAGAGUGACGAAUCUAGAGAUAGAUUUUUCUUCGGACACUCUUGGAGGUGCUGCAUGGUUGUCGUCAGCUCGUGCCGUGAGGUGUCGGCUUAAGUGCCAUAACGAGCGCAACCCUUUUCCUUGGUUGCCAUCAGGUAAUGCUGGGCACUCCAGGGAUACUGCCAUCGUAAGAUGUGAGGAAGGUGGGGAUGACGUCAAAUCAGCACGGCCCUUACGUCCGGGGCUACACACGUGUUACAAUGGGGGGUACAGAAGGUCGCUACCUGGUGACAGGAUGCUAAUCUGCAAAACCUCUCUCAGUUCGGAUCGGAGUCUGCAACCCGACUCCAUGAAGCUGGAUUCGCUAGUAAUCGCGCAUCAGCCAUGGCGCGGUGAAUACGUUCCCGGGCCU
rnacentral:rRNA from 1 species